CAAAGGACUGUUUACUGGAUGGUCCCAAGCAGUUAUUCCUCAAAAUUCAAUAUUGAUUUCUUCUUCUUAAGCCGCUUCUCAGAAUUGACGGUUCAUACGCCUAGCGAAACAUUGCUGCACAGUUUCUUGGUCACCCUUCUUUCGCCUUUGAGAUGGGCAACAUCAAAACUCGUUGAGAGCUAUCUUACCUGGGAACUUCCGUUGAAAAAGUACAAAACGGUACCAAAACAUAGCUUUCUCGAGCAGUUUUCUUCGUGUCAAGUCCCAUUAUUGCCCGAUAACUUCUACAGAAGGUGGAAGAAGGAAGCAUCGUAUUGAAGAAAUCUCAAAGCAUGAGCUUCUGCUCAGAAGGUUUAAUUAUUGAUGGGGAAGUCAAGCCUCUAAAAACAGACCUUGUGAUUCUUGCCACUGGCUUCAAAGGAGAUGAGAAGCUCAAAAAUAUGUUCACUUCUCCAACCUUUCAAAAAUUCAUAAAGGGGCCAACAACCACUCAAGUUCCUCUCUACAGGUUCUCUCCAUGAGAUCGAUUUCAAUUUCUACUUCCCAUAAGUUUUCUUCAUUAUAUUCAAGUAUCAAGACUUUGUUUCGGUUAGCUUAGAAACAGCGUUUCAGAAUCAUAAGAGAAAUGACAAGAGAAUUUGGCUAUGUAAGAAAA